CACUCCUGCGGGAGGCAGCAGUGGGGAAUUUUGGACAAUGGGCGAAAGCCUGAUCCAGCAAUGCCGCGUGUGUGAAGAAGGCCUUCGGGUUGUAAAGCACUUUUGUCCGGAAAGAAAUCCUUGGCUCUAAUACAGUCGGGGGAUGACGGUACCGGAAGAAUAAGCACCGGCUAACUACGUGCCAGCAGCCGCGGUAAUACGUAGGGUGCGAGCGUUAAUCGGAAUUACUGGGCGUAAAGCGUGCGCAGGCGGUUUGCUAAGACCGAUGUGAAAUCCCCGGGCUCAACCUGGGAACUGCAUUGGUGACUGGCAGGCUAGAGUAUGGCAGAGGGGGGUAGAAUUCCACGUGUAGCAGUGAAAUGCGUAGAGAUGUGGAGGAAUACCGAUGGCGAAGGCAGCCCCCUGGGCCAAUACUGACGCUCAUGCACGAAAGCGUGGGGAGCAAACAGGAUUAGAAACCCCGGUAGUCCC
rnacentral:rRNA from 1 species